UACGAAGGGGGCUAGCGUUGCUCGGAAUCACUGGGCGUAAAGCGCACGUAGGCGGACUCGUAAGUCAGGGGUGAAAUCCUGGAGCUCAACUCCAGAACUGCCUUUGAUACUGGGAGUCUUGAGUUCGGGAGAGGUGAGUGGAACUGCGAGUGUAGAGGUGAAAUUCGUAGAUAUUCGCAAGAACACCAGUGGCGAAGGCGGCUCACUGGCCCGAUACUGACGCUGAGGUGCGAAAGCGUGGGGAGCAAACAGG
rnacentral:rRNA from 1 species